rnacentral:misc_RNA from 1 species
AUUAUGGGAGCACCAAACUACAAGUUAAUUCUGCAAGCAGUAAUUCAAGUAAAUUUUGCAAGGAGUAAGCUCUGAUGCAUAAAACAGCAACUCUUGCCAUUUCUCGUGUUGGAAACAUUUCUGACAAGGAAACAACAAGACACAGCAGGAAACGCGUUUUGGGCUUGUUUAGAAGCGCCUUUCCGAUCUGGAAUCUAUAUAAAAAAAAAUUAAGUUAAA